rnacentral:rRNA from 1 species
GUGUCAGCAGCCGCGGUAACACGGGGGGAGCAAGCGUUGUUCGGAAUCACUGGGCGUAAAGGGAGUCUAGGCGGUCAGAUAAGUGGAAUGUGAAAUCCCUCGGCUUACCCGAGGACCUGCAUCCCAAACUGUCUGGCUUGAGUAUGGGAGAGGAUGAGGGAAUUCCUGGUGUAGCGGUGAAAUGCGUAGAUAUCAGGAGGAACACCGGUGGCGAAAGCGCUCAUCUGGCCCAAUACUGACGCUGAAGCUCGAAAGCUAGGGGAGCAAACGGGAUUAGAAACCCUCGUAGUCC